rnacentral:rRNA from 1 species
UAAGGAAUAUUGGUCAAUGGACGGAAGUCUGAACCAGCCAUGCCGCGUGAAGGAUGAAGGCCCUCUGGGUUGUAAACUUCUUUUAUCUGGGACGAAAAAAGGGGAUUCUUCCUCACUUGACGGUACCAGAGGAAUAAGCACCGGCUAACUCCGUGCCAGCAGCCGCGGUAAUACGGAGGGUGCAAGCGUUAUCCGGAUUUACUGGGUUUAAAGGGUGCGUAGGUGGGUAGGUAAGUCAGUGGUGAAAUCUUCAAGCUUAACUUGGAAACUGCCAUUGAUACUAUUUAUCUUGAAUACUUUGGAGGUAAGCGGAAUAUGUCAUGUAGCGGUGAAAUGCUUAGAUAUGACAUAGAACACCAAUUGCGAAGGCAGCUUACUACACAGUUAUUGACACUGAGGCACGAAAGCGUGGGGAUCAAACAGGAUUAGAUACCCUGGUAGUCCACGCCCUAAACGAUGGAUACUCGACAUUAGCGAUAUACAGUUAGUGUCUGAGCGAAAGCAUUAAGUAUCCCACCUGGGAAGUACGACCGCAAGGUUGA